rnacentral:rRNA from 1 species
CAUGCAGUCGAGGGGUAUAAAUAGCUUGCUAUUUAGAGACCGGCGCACGGGUGCGUAACGCGUAUGCAAUCUACCUUAUGCAGAGGGAUAGCCCGAAGAAAUUUAGAUUGUUUCCUCUUAGUAUAUAUAAUAGGCCUCUAUAUUAUAUUAAAGAUUUAUCGGCAUAACAUGAGCAUGCGUCCCAUUAGCUAGUUGGUAUGGUAACGGCAUACCAACGCAACGAUGGGUAUGGGUUCUGUUAGGGAAAUCCCCCCCACUGCUACUGAAACACGGACCAGACUCAUACCGGAGGCAGGGCUGAGGAGUGUUGGACAAUGGUCGGGAGAAUGAUCGNUCCAUGCCGCCUGCAGGAAGACUGAACGAUGGGUGGUAAACUGCUUUUGUAUGACAAGAAUAAGAGGUACUUGUACCUUGCUGACUGUAUCGUACGAAUAGACAUCAGCUAACUCCGUGCCAGCAGCCGCGGUAAUACGGAGGAUGCAGGCGUAGUCCGGAAUCAUUGGGUUUAAAGGGUCCGUAAACGGGCUAUUAAGUCAAGGAUGAAAAUUUGCCGCUCAACGGUAAAAUUGCCUUUGAUACUGAUAGUCUUGAAUGUGUUUAACUUGAUUAGAAUAUGUAGUGUAGCGGUGAAAUGCAUAGAUAUUACAUAGAAUACGACGCGCGAACGCAGGUCAUUAACACAUUAUUGACGCUGAUGGAGGAAAGCGUGGGUAGCGAACGGGAUUAGAUACCCUGGUAGUCCACGCCGUAAACGAUGGAUACUAGCUGUUGGGACUUUGGUUUCAGUGGCUAAGCGAAAGUGAUAAGUAUCCCACGUGGGGAGUACGUUAGCAACAAUGAAACUAAAGGGAAUUGUCCGGGGCGCCGGACAAUCGGUGGAGAUUGUGGUUUUAAUUCGAUGAUACGCGAGGAACCUUACCAAGGCUUAAAUGUAGUGUGACAAGGACUGGAAACAGUUUUUUCUUUAAGACACAUUACGAGGUGCCUGUAGUGUUGUUGUCAUCUCGUACCGUGAGGUGUCAGGUUAAGUCCUAUAACGAGCGCAACCCCUGUGCUUAGUUACCAGCGGGUCACUUCGGGGACUCUAGCCGGUGCAAACCGUGAGGAAGGUGGGGAAGAUGUCAAGUCGUCAUGGCCAUUACGGCCAGGGCUACACACGUGUUACAACAGUGGGUACAGAGAUCAGCCACUUAAUGAUAAGGAGCGAAUCUAUUAAGUCUCUCACAGUUGAGAUCGGAGUCUGCAACUCGACUCCGUGAAGCUGGAAUCGCUAGUAAUCGGAUAUCAGCCAUGAUCCGGUGAAUGGGUUCCCGGGCACCGUACAUUCCGCCCGUCAAGCCAUGGAAGCUGGGGGUACCUGAAG